rnacentral:rRNA from 1 species
GACGAACGCUGGCGGCGUGCCUAAUACAUGCAAGUAGAACGCUGAAGAGAGGAGCUUGCUCUUCUUGGAUGAGUUGCGAACGGGUGAGUAACGCGUAGGUAACCUGCCUUGUAGCGGGGGAUAACUAUUGGAAACGAUAGCUAAUACCGCAUAACAAUGGAUGACACAUGUCAUUUAUUUGAAAGGGGCAAUUGCUCCACUACAAGAUGGACCUGCGUUGUAUUAGCUAGUAGGUGAGGUAACGGCUCACCUAGGCGACGAUACAUAGCCGACCUGAGAGGGUGAUCGGCCACACUGGGACUGAGACACGGCCCAGACUCCUACGGGAGGCAGCAGUAGGGAAUCUUCGGCAAUGGGGGCAACCCUGACCGAGCAACGCCGCGUGAGUGAAGAAGGUUUUCGGAUCGUAAAGCUCUGUUGUAAGUCAAGAACGAGUGUGAGAGUGGAAAGUUCACACUGUGACGGUAGCUUACCAGAAAGGGACGGCUAACUACGUGCCAGCAGCCGCGGUAAUACGUAGGUCCCGAGCGUUGUCCGGAUUUAUUGGGCGUAAAGCGAGCGCAGGCGGUUUGAUAAGUCUGAAGUUAAAGGCUGUGGCUCAACCAUAGUUCGCUUUGGAAACUGUCAAACUUGAGUGCAGAAGGGGAGAGUGGAAUUCCAUGUGUAGCGGUGAAAUGCGUAGAUAUAUGGAGGAACACCGGUGGCGAAAGCGGCUCUCUGGUCUGUAACUGACGCUGAGGCUCGAAAGCGUGGGGAGCGAACAGGAUUAGAUACCCUGGUAGUCCACGCCGUAAACGAUGAGUGCUAGGUGUUGGAUCCUUUCCGGGAUUCAGUGCCGCAGCUAACGCAUUAAGCACUCCGCCUGGGGAGUACGACCGCAAGGUUGAAACUCAAAGGAAUUGACGGGGGCCCGCACAAGCGGUGGAGCAUGUGGUUUAAUUCGAAGCAACGCGAAGAACCUUACCAGGUCUUGACAUCCCGAUGCUAUUUCUAGAGAUAGAAAGUUACUUCGGUACAUCGGUGACAGGUGGUGCAUGGUUGUCGUCAGCUCGUGUCGUGAGAUGUUGGGUUAAGUCCCGCAACGAGCGCAACCCCUAUUGUUAGUUGCCAUCAUUCAGUUGGGCACUCUAGCGAGACUGCCGGUAAUAAACCGGAGGAAGGUGGGGAUGACGUCAAAUCAUCAUGCCCCUUAUGACCUGGGCUACACACGUGCUACAAUGGUUGGUACAACGAGUUGCGAGUCGGUGACGGCAAGCUAAUCUCUUAAAGCCAAUCUCAGUUCAGAUUGUAGGCUGCAACUCGCCUACAUGAAGUCGGAAUCGCUAGUAAUCGCGGAUCAGCACGCCGCGGUGAAUACGUUCCCGGGCCU